rnacentral:rRNA from 1 species
UUGAGGAAGAUAAUGACGGUACUCAACAAGGAAGUGACGGCUAACUACGUGCCAGCAGCCGCGGUAAAACGUAGGUCACAAGCGUUGUCCGGAAUUACUGGGUGUAAAGGGAGCGCAGGCGGGAAGACAAGUUGGAAGUGAAAUCCAUGGGCUCAACCCAUGAACUGCUUUCAAAACUGUUUUUCUUGAGUAGUGCAGAGGUAGGCGGAAUUCCCGGUGUAGCGGUGGAAUGCGUAGAUAUCGGGAGGAACACCAGUGGCGAAGGCGGCCUACUGGGCACCAACUGACGCUGAGGCUCGAAAGUGUGGGUAGCAAACAGGAUUAGAUACCCUGGUAGUCCACACCGUAAACGAUGAUUACUAGGUGUUGGAGGAUUGACCCCUUCAGUGCCGCAGUUAACACAAUAAGUAAUCCACCUGGGGAGUACGACCGCAAGGUUGAAACUCAAAGGAAUUGACGGGGGCCCGCACAAGCAGUGGAGUAUGUGGUUUAAUUCGACGCAACGCGAAGAACCUUACCAAGUCUUGACAUCCUGCGACGGACAUAGAAAUAUGUCUUUCCUUCGGGACGCAGAGACAGGUGGUGCAUGGUUGUCGUCAGCUCGUGUCGUGAGAUGUUGGGUUAAGUCCCGCAACGAGCGCAACCCUUAUGGUCAGUUACUACGCAAGAGGACUCUGGCCAGACUGCC